rnacentral:piRNA from 1 species
UGCAUUGGUGACAGAAACACUGUUUAGGACA